AAGCGUGCGCAGGCGGUUAUGUAAGACAGUUGUGAAAUCCCCGGGCUCAACCUGGGAACUGCAUCUGUGACUGCAUAGCUAGAGUACGGUAGAGGGGGAUGGAAUUCCGCGUGUAGCAGUGAAAUGCGUAGAUAUGCGGAGGAACACCGAUGGCGAAGGCAAUCCCCUGGACCUGUACUGACGCUCAUGCACGAAAGCGUGGGGAGCAAACAGGAUUAGAUACCCCUAGU
rnacentral:rRNA from 1 species